GGGAAGGAACCAGAGGGAGGUGAUGGCAGUGAUAAGAUCAAGGCCGGUCAACUUUAACUCUUGCGAGAUUUUGGCGGCUUAAAGCCCUGAGCACUUUCACCGUAUGCUCCUUCACUGAAAGUGAAGCAAGGACAAUUGAAGAUCGUUGUAGAGACAGUGACGCUGAUUAAUAUCAAAUCCCGGAGAAGUAGCGUGCUUGGGACUGGCUGAUAGAGUCUACUUGUUUGGCAGGCCUGUUCAAAACCAGCGAGGAUGAGCGACAUCGAUGACAGAAAACCCUGGCGGCAAGAAAAAAUAUAUGAAUUUUG